AUGGGAACGCGAAGAACCUUACCUACUCUUGACAUCCAGAGAACUUAGCAGAGAUGCUUUGGUGCCUUCGGGAACUCUGAGACAGGUGCUGCAUGGCUGUCGUCAGCUCGUGUUGUGAAAUGUUGGGUUAAGUCCCGCAACGAGCGCAACCCUUAUCCUUUGUUGCCAGCGGUCCGGCCGGGAACUCAAAGGAGACUGCCAGUGAUAAACUGGAGGAAGGUGGGGAUGACGUCAAGUCAUCAUGGCCCUUACGAGUAGGGCUACACACGUGCUACAAUGGCGCAUACAAAGAGAAGCGACCUCGCGAGAGCAAGCGGACCUCAUAAAGUGCGUCGUAGUCCGGAUUGGAGUCUGCAACUCGACUCCAUGAAGUCGGAAUCGCUAGUAAUCGUAGAUCAGAAUGCUACGGUGAAUACGUUCCCGGGUCUUGUACACACCGAGUCGGU
rnacentral:rRNA from 1 species